rnacentral:pre_miRNA from 1 species
AAUAACUACAGUUUUACACUGUCUAUGUCUAACAUUUGACCGUUUAUCUUAUUUGAAAUUUUUUUUGUGAUCAGUAUUUUUAUUGUUAUUAGAUGAUAAAACAUAAAUAAUACUUUAUGUGUGACUAAUUUUUUUUAAAAAAUUAUAAAAUAUUUCAAAUAAGACGAACAUCUGUUCUACUAUAGUUGUCGUUCUA